rnacentral:rRNA from 1 species
ACGCUGAAGGAGGAGCUUGCUCUUUCCGGAUGAGUUGCGAACGGGUGAGUAACGCGUAGGUAACCUGCCUGGUAGCGGGGGAUAACUAUUGGAAACGAUAGCUAAUACCGCAUAACAGUAGAUAUUGCAUGAUAUCUGCUUGAAAGGUGCAAUUGCAUCACUACCAGAUGGACCUGCGUUGUAUUAGCUAGUUGGUGAGGUAACGGCUCACCAAGGCGACGAUACAUAGCCGACCUGAGAGGGUGAUCGGCCACACUGGGACUGAGACACGGCUCAGACUCCUACGGGAGGCAGCAGUAGGGAAUCUUCGGCAAUGGACGGAAGUCUGACCGAGCAACGCCGCGUGAGUGAAGAAGGUUUUCGGAUCGUAAAGCUCUGUUGUAAGAGAAGAACGAGUGUGAGAGUGGAAAGUUCACACUGUGACGGUAUCUUACCAGAAAGGGACGGCUAACUACGUGCCAGCAGCCGCGGUAAUACGUAGGUCCCGAGCGUUAUCCGGAUUUAUUGGGCGUAAAGCGAGCGCAGGCGGUUAGAUAAGUCUGAAGUUAAAGGCUGUGGCUUAACCAUAGUACGCUUUGGAAACUGUUUAACUUGAGUGCAAGAGGGGAGAGUGGAAUUCCAUGUGUAGCGGUGAAAUGCGUAGAUAUAUGGAGGAACA